CCCCUGCAGCAACACACCACCUCAGCGUUUCAUACAAUUCGAACCGCAGUCAACUUCUGGAUUUGAAGCGUCAGUCAACACUCGUUGACCAGUUGACGUGGAGCGAAGCACGGGAACAGGGGUGACUUGAUAGCAAUCCUAUUGGUUUGUAAUUUUCGUGUGACUGGCUUGUGAAGCCCGUGGUGGACUACAAGCAGACCAAGCUGAAGCAUUUGGAUAACGGAAGAACAAGACUACUGCUAAGGAGAGCAAGACAGACUUCUCGAUUGACUUCAUUCCUGAGUGUUAUCGAUGCAGGUGGAGGCAUGACGCUGGCGCAGAUGCGAGAUUCUCAACACCUGCAAGAAAGACACUUAGACGCAUGGACACGAGCAAAGACGUAUUUUUUAAUAUAUCCAGAGUGCUCACACCUCCACCAAGAUCCUAACUCGGGAACUGAUAACAGCUGUAAUAAAGGCCUUCUGUCCAGGCAGGUGUUAGUUAAUGCAUAAAGGGUAAACAGUCACGCCACAAGGAAAACACACAAAUUUUAAGAUGUUUGUAAGCACAAUUGUAUGAAAAGUCCAAUUUUCUCUCCAAUGGUUGAAAGCAACUCCCCCCUUUCAUAAAUAAUUUUAUUAACACAUUUCUUCGUCUGACAAAGCCAGACGACAGCAGUAGCCCCGGCAACUGCUUAAUUGUUGCUGGUACCAUUUAAAAGGCGGUAACUAUAAAUGGCUUCGUGUGUAAACAACAAAAGAGGAAGAGAAAGCUCAUACGAAGAAGAGAAAAGACCUUUCCAGUGUCUUACUUGUGGGAAGAAAUACCGAAAGCGCCACCACCUUAAAUACCACGAACUUAAGCAUGCCAAGAAGAUGCCAUUUAUUUGUAAAGGUUGUCGAAUGAGGUUCAGAACUUUCCAACAAUUUACUGAACACGUUUUGAUCCAGAGAUGGAAUAAUACCCACGUGUCCACAAGAGACGCUGAAGUUUAAAUGACGUACUCUGCCAGAGUAAAUUUAGUAGUUUUUUUUAAGACAAAAUUAAAGAUACUGUUUUAGGAACAUUUUAAAUGUUUUAUUCAUUUGACUUAGUUGUGUACAAUUGUUAUUUUUUACCUCGUGGUGUUUUUGUUUGUUUUAAUGAGGGAUAAUGUUUUUGUCAAGGCUGCAUGGAUCGACUGUCGAAUGUUUAGACGACGGGAACAACGCCGUGACUGACGGCAGAGAUUAAUCUUUGAAAUUGUUGAAUGUGAAGAGUAGAGAACGACUUUUUGGAGGUCUUUUUAUUGUACCUUUGUGCAACUUAAAAAUUGUAUAAAUUUGUGUAGGUGCGUAUCUGUAAGAUACUUUGACUUUUGUAAUAUAAAAACUUAAUCACAGAA